CAUUUUUCGACAAGUAUAUUAACCGAUAUACUACGAAACGAUGUGUGUGGAACAAUUUUAGAUCAAAUUCACAUUAAAUAUACUACACUGGCACAUGAAUAUACUACGAUUGACAACAAAUACACGUACGAAAGUGUAAAACCGCACACGUAUAUGGAUGAAAACGUCGCAAAUAUAUCAAAUUUUGAAACUACGAUUUU
rfam:Euproctis pseudoconspersa nucleopolyhedrovirus strain Hangzhou, complete genome.